AGCAAAAUGAAAGUCUGCUCUACAAUUUUCUGCUGCCAUUCCCUUGGUUAAGAUUUUCCCGUGACCUGGAAGUCCUCCCCUUAAACUCUGCUGAUCAAUUCUUCCAGGGUCUCUCAAACUCAGCAGAGAAAUUCUAAGUAACUCCUCUAAAAAAUUACUCUUUCCCUCUGCUGAUUCUUUUUGUAUUACUCUGGUGGCACUUAAUAAUAAUCUUUGACCUAUAGUGUAAUCAGCUUUUUUUUUUUUUUCUGAGAUGGAGUCUCCCUCUGUCACCCAGCCUAUCUUCAAGUGUCUACUUUGCCACAGUCCUCAUGAAAUAAAAAAUAAGUUUCAGACUGUCCCAAAUAAUCAUAAUUUAUAUUCUCUUCAGCCUAGUUCAUCCAUGUGUUUCAACUGAAUUAAAUAUUCUUUUAUAAAAGGCACUAAAC
ensembl:lncRNA MYCBP2-AS2 MYCBP2 antisense RNA 2